rnacentral:rRNA from 1 species
UACGUAGGGUGCGAGCGUUAAUCGGAAUUACUGGGCGUAAAGCGUGCGCAGGCGGUUUUGUAAGCCAGAUGUGAAAUCCCCGGGCUUAACCUGGGAACUGCGUUUCUAACUGGCAGGCUUGAGUGUGGCAGAGGGGGGUGGAAUUCCACGUGUAGCAGUGAAAUGCGUAGAGAUGUGGAGGAACACCGAUGGCGAAGGCAGCCCCCUGGGCUAACACUGACGCUCAUGCACGAAAGCGUGGGGAGCAAACAGG